rnacentral:misc_RNA from 1 species
GAUGAAGAACGCAGUGAAAUGCGAUAAGUAAUGUGAAUUGCAGAAUUCAGUGAAUCAUCGAAUCUUUGAACGCACAUUGCGCCCGCCAGUAUUCUGGCGGGCAUGCCUGUUCGAGCGUCAUUUCAACCCUCAAGCCCUGCUUGGUGUUGGGGAUCGGCGUUGCCUCCUCCGUCGUUCGCGGCGGGGUGAGGUCGCCGCCCCCGAAAUGAAUUGGCGGUCUCGUCGCAGCUUUCCUUUGCGUAGUAACAUACCACCUCGCAACCAGGAGCGCGGCGCGGCCACUGCCGUAAAACGCCCAACUUUUUCAAGAGUUGACCUCGAAUCAGGUAGGAAUACCCGCUGAACUUAAGCAUAUCAAUAAGCGGAGGA